rnacentral:rRNA from 1 species
AUGCAUGUCUAAGUUCAGCUUGAGAAUAGUGAAACCGCGAAUGGCUCAUUAAAUCAGUCAUUGUUCAUUUGCUUUUGACUAGUUCACAUGAAUAACCGCGGUAACCCUGCGGCUAAUGCAUGAAAUUGAUCCUGAAACUCUGUGAUGGAUCGCUUUAACUAGACAACCAGUGUUAGAACAUAUGCUCUAUCGCGAAGUGAUGAACUCUGAGUUACUGAAUGACCCCAACGCUUAAUUGCACGGGGCGAAGCAUUCGAAUGUCUGACCUAUCAACUUCUGACGGUAGUGUAACGGACUACCGUGGUUGUAACGGGUAACGGGGAAUCAGGGUUCGAUUCCGGAGAGGGAGCCUGAGAAACGGCUACCACAUCUAAGGAAGGCAGCAGGCGCGCAAAUUACCCAAUCCCGGUACGGGGAGGUAGUGACGAAAAGUAACGAUAUGAGGCCUUCGGGCUUUGUGAUUGGAAUGGAGUAGGCUUAACACACCUGCUGAGGAGCUAGUGGAGGGCAAGUCUGGUGCCAGCAGCCGCGGUAAUACCAGCAUCCACAAGCAUAUGCAAAAGUUGCUGCGUUUAAAAAGCUCGUAGUUGGAUCUGUUAAUUGAGUGGCGUUAACCUUAGUGGACUAUGUUCGCCUAGGGCUGCUCGAUUUUCCGGCCGUCGAGAUCGCUUGCGCUUAACCGUGUCGAGUGAUCAAGACGGAAUAUUUACUUUGAGUAAAUUAGAGUGUUCAAAGCAUCCUUUGGGAUUGCAUAGUAAAGCAUGGAAUGAUGGAGGAAGACCUAACCUUUGGUUUGGCUUGCAAAGGUGCGGUAAUGAUUAAAAGGAACAGUUGGGGGCAUUCGUAUUGCUACGUUAGAGGUGAAAUUCUUGGAUCGUGGCAAGACGAACUACUGCGAAAGCAUUUGCCAAGAAUGUUUCCAUUAAUCAAGAACGAAAGUUAGAGUAUUGAAGAGGAUUAGAUACCCUCGUAAUUCUAACCAUAAACGAUACCAACUUACGAUCUGGCGAAGUCCUAUAUGACAUGUCAGGGAGUUAACCGGAAAACCAAAGUUUAUUGGCUCCGGGGGAAGUAUGGUUGCAAAAUCGAAACUUAAAGGAAUUGACGGAAGGGCACCACCAGGAGUGGAGCCUGCGGCUUAAUUUGACUCAACACGGGAAACCUCACCAGGUCCAGACAUAGCAAGGAUUGACAGACUGAAUCUUUUUCAUGAUUCCAUGGGUGGUGGUGCAUGGCCGUUCUUAGUUAGUGGAGUGAUCUGUCUGGUUAAUUCCGAUAACGAACGAGAUCCCGGCCGAUUUAAAUAGUAUAGUGAACGUUACGUUUGCUACUACUUCUUAGAGGAACUAUGUGGAAUCAAGCUACCACAGGGAAGUGGGGCUAUAACAGGUCUGUGAUGCCCUUAGAUGUCCUGGGCCGCACGCGCGCUACACUGACUACUACUGAUUGAGUGUCUUUUACCUGGUCCGUAAUGGUCUGGGUAAUCACCUCAAAGUAUGUACCUCUCCAUACUGGGGAUGAAUUGUUGUAAUUAUCAAUUCUGAACGAGGAAUUCCUAGUAAAUGCUUGUCAUCAGCAAGCGUUGAUUACGUCCCUGCCCUUUGUACACACCGCCCGUCGCUACUACUGAUUGGAUGUUUAAGCAAGAACUUUUGAGACUGGCAGCGUUGGCUUCGGCACAUGCAGUCGGUCGAAGAAGAUCAAGCUUAUGUGUCUA